rnacentral:lncRNA from 1 species
ACAAUCCAUUUCGUCAUCGUUGAGGCACAAUCCCCAACAAGAAUUCUUGUAUUUCAAUCAGAAGGUGACAAUUCGAACACAAAGAUGUUUGCACAACUACGUUGAAUGGCAACAAGUCUAGAAGUCGUGACACCCAAAUGAUGUCAUGACCAACACACUAUUACAGUAACAGAAGAUCCUAAGUAUGCUCUGAACAAGCCACACUCUAAUACCAAAUUGCCACGCCUGACCCUGAUAUUCUCCCAAACACUAAGGUAGGCAUGUGCUGGCUGACACCUAAAGGUGACAAAGCCAUAUUAACAUGCAUGAGAACUAUGAACUCAUAAAAUUUAAAUACAAUGAAUAUGUAAUUGAGGAACGUGUUCCGAGCUUACAAAUCCGAGAUACUAAAAAUGAAUAAAAUUGAAUGAACAAAAGGAUGGGUCCUACACCGAGAGGACUGGAAGAUGCCGAUGCGGGAGUGCCUUGACGCCUAGAUCGUACGCCUGGAUUUUAAGUCAUGAGAGGGCGCAAAACAAAACAUGAGUGGACCAAGUUGAUAUAUAUAGGUAGUAUUAACAUAGUUAAUCUUUAACAAUGUACUAACCCCCAAAGUUUAUGAAAACUCAUAUAGCAUAAUAUGUAAUAGGUUUUCCAAAAGCCCUAGCAUGCCAUAAAACCUCAUAAAACGUAUAUUAAAUAUAGUGUGCUUAGUUAUGGUAUCAAUAUCUCCCACCUGAAGGCAUAUAGCAUAUAGAACACUUCAUUCGCCUGUAGGCAUAUAGAACACUUCAUUUGCCCGUACGUACUUCAUCACUCGUCCGUAGGCAUAUAUAAAUAUCUUCCGCCCGUAGGCAAUACAACCCUCGGCCAAAGACAAGUAUAGGUAUCAUUCGACCCGUAGGCCCCUACAUCACCUGACCGAAGCCAUAUAU